rnacentral:rRNA from 1 species
AACAAACGCUGGCGGCGUGCCUAAUACAUGCAAGUCGAACGGGGAAAGCCUUCGGGUGAGUACUAGUGGCGCACGGGUGAGUAACACGUGGGUAAUCUUCCUCGAAGCGUGGGAUAACUAGUCGAAAGAUUAGCUAAUACCACAUAAGACCACAGGAUCUGCGGAUCCAGAGGUCAAAGUUUUUCGCUUUGAGAUGAGCCCGCGCAAGAUUAGCUAGUUGGUGAGGUAAUGGCUCACCAAGGCAACGAUCUUUAGCUGGUCUGAGAGGAUGAUCAGCCACACUGGAACUGAGACACGGUCCAGACUCCUACGGGAGCAGCAGUAGGGAAUAUUGCACAAUGGAGGAAACUCUGAUGCAGCGACGCCGCGUGAGUGAUGAAGGACUUCGGUUCGUAAAGCUCUGUCGUAUGGGAAUAAGAAAGUGAAUGUACCAUGCAAGAAAGGAUCGGGCUAACUUCGUGCCAGCAGCC